rnacentral:rRNA from 1 species
GACGAACGCUGGCGGCGUGCUUAACACAUGCAAGUCGAACGGAAAGGCCCUGCUUUUGUGGGGUGCUCGAGUGGCGAACGGGUGAGUAACACGUGAGUAACCUGCCCUUGACUUUGGGAUAACUUCAGGAAACUGGGGCUAAUACCUGAUAGGAGCUCCUGCUGCAUGGUGGGGGUUGGAAAGUUUCGGCGGUUGGGGAUGGACUCGCGGCUUAUCAGCUUGUUGGUGGGGUAGUGGCUUACCAAGGCUUUGACGGGUAGCCGGCCUGAGAGGGUGACCGGCAACAUUGGGACUGAGAUACGGCCCAGACUCCUACGGGAGGCAGCAGUGGGGAAUAUUGCACAAUGGGCGGAAGCCUGAUGCAGCAACGCCGCGUGCGGGAUGACGGCCUUCGGGUUGUAAACCGCUUUAGCAUGUGACGAAGCGUGAGUGACGGUAAUGGGUAAAGAAGCACCGGCUAACUACGUG